ACCUUCGGGCCUCUUGCCAUCAGAUGUGCCCAGAUGGGAUUAGCUUGUUGGUGAGGUAACGGCUCACCAAGGCGACGAUCCCUAGCUGGUCUGAGAGGAUGACCAGCCACACUGGAACUGAGACACGGUCCAGACUCCUACGGGAGGCAGCAGUGGGGAAUAUUGCACAAUGGGCGCAAGCCUGAUGCAGCCAUGCCGCGUGUAUGAAGAAGGCCUUCGGGUUGUAAAGUACUUUCAGCGGGGAGGAAGGUGUUGUGGUUAAUAACCGCAGCAAUUGACGUUACCCGCAGAAGAAGCACCGGCUAACUCCGUGCCAGCAGCCGCGGUAAUACGGAGGGUGCAAGCGUUAAUCGGAAUUACUGGGCGUAAAGCGCACGCAGGCGGUCUGUCAAGUCGGAUGUGAAAUCCCCGGGCUCAACCUGGGAACUGCAUUCGAAACUGGCAGGCUUGAGUCUUGUAGAGGGGGGUAGAAUUCCAGGUGUAGCGGUGAAAUGCGUAGAGAUCUGGAGGAAUACCGGUGGCGAAGGCGGCCCCCUGGACAAAGACUGACGCUCAGGUGCGAAAGCGUGGGGAGCAAACAGGAUUAGAUACCCUGGUAGUCCACGCCGUAAACGAUGUCUACUUGGAGGUUGUGCCCUUGAGGCGUGGCUUCCGGAGCUAACGCGUUAAGUAGACCGCCUGGGGAGUACGGCCGCAAGGUUAAAACUCAAAUGAAUUGACGGGGGCCCGCACAAGCGGUGGAGCAUGUGGUUUAAUUCGAUGCAACGCGAAGAACCUUACCUGGUCUUGACAUCCACAGAACUUUCCAGAGAUGGAUUGGUGCCUUCGGGAACUGUGAGACAGGUGCUGCAUGGCUGUCGUCAGCUCGUGUUGUGAAAUGUUGGGUUAAGUCCCGCAACGAGCGCAACCCUUAUCCUUUGUUGCCAGCGGUCCGGCCGGGAACUCAAAGGAGACUGCCAGUGAUAAACUGGAGGAAGGUGGGGAUGACGUCAAGUCAUCAUGGCCCUUACGACCAGGGCUACACACGUGCUACAAUGGCGCAUACAAAGAGAAGCGACCUCGCGAGAGCAAGCGGACCUCAUAAAGUGCGUCGUAGUCCGGAUUGGAGUCUGCAACUCGACUCCAUGAAGUCGGAAUCGCUAGUAAUCGUGGAUCAGAAUGCCACGGUGAAUACGUUCCCGGGCCUUGUACACACCGCCCGUCACACCAUGGGAGUGGGUUGCAAAAGAAGUAGGUAGCUUAACCUUCGGGAGGGCGCUUACCACUUUGUGAUUCAUGACUGGGGUGAAGUCGUAACAAGGUAACCGUAGGGGAACCUGCGGUUGGAUCACCUCCUUACCUUAAAGAA
rnacentral:rRNA from 2 species